CGGAGGAAGGUGGGGACGACGUCAAAUCAUCAUGCCCCUUAUGUCUUGGGCUUCACGCAUGCUACAAUGGCCGGUACAAAGGGUUGCGAUACCGCAAGGUGGAGCGAAUCCCAAAAAGCCGGUCUCAGUUCGGAUUGGGGUCUGCAACUCGACCCCAUGAAGUCGGA
rnacentral:rRNA from 1 species